rnacentral:tRNA from 1 species
CUAUUUUGGCAGAUAAAUGUGUUAAAUUUAGGAUUUAGGUAUGUGGAUAAACUACAA